rnacentral:tRNA from 1 species
UUCAAAAUAGCACAAUCAGGAAGUGCGCCGGGAAAGCACCUGAGAUGCUGGUUCAAUUCCAGCUUGUAAAU